GUCAGGAUGGCCGAGUGGUCUAAGGCGCCAGACUCAAGAACCGAGGUUCUUCGCCGACAUGAGGUGUUGAGUAUUCUGGUCUCGCGAAUGGAGGCGUGGGUUCGAAUCCCACUUCUGACA
rfam:Ciona savignyi cont_24927, whole genome shotgun sequence.